UAUCUGCCCUUAUUUCAUUUCUUAUCAACUAAAACUAGCUUGCUUAACUGAAAUUUGAUAGGAUUAGGCCUUACUAUUGUGUACGUUUAUAAAGCUACAUAAUUAUUUAGCAUAUUGAUUAAGCCCUACUACCUUCCUAUCUUUCAUAAGUUUUCAUUAAAUGGUCUUAUUACUCUCCAUCAUUACCAGAUUACAUAAGCAUCGCUGAAUUUUCAUAGGAUUAAGCCUAACUGCCUUAUUAUACAUCUUUCAUAAGUUUUCAUUAAAUGGUGUUAUCACUGUGAUCAUUAGCAGAUUACAUAAAUAAGAAGUCCAUCAUACUUGCCAAAUAAAUUUUUGAUAUAGAUCAGUAGCAUGUAGAAAAGAGUGGUAGUUCUAAUGAAAGUUGGCUACCUUAGAUUUAAUUGAUUGACAUUAGAAACUAUGAGUAAAUGUAAAUUUUCGGAAAUUCAUGGUUUCCAUUAUAGUCCAAAUACACAUCAUCAGCUUGGAUCCUGAAGAACCAAAAACAAACCACCUCAAAAUGUUGUGUGUUGCUUUCAUAAAGGCCUUAACCAACCAUUCCGAAGUUCAUUCAGCACAAACUGGAAGAAAAAAUGAAGGAAAGAAAUGAAAACAUAGGAGAAAAUGAUCUUCGUGGAUGAUGCAAAAUAAUAUGCUAACUCCAAUACAAAAACAGCAUCACAGGUUAGAUUCAUAGCAACUUUGAAUCUAACUGCUAUAUUCAUUUGCAAGGGUCACCACGAUAUUCAUAUCGUUGGAUGAUCAUCACAAAAGAAAGUUGGCCAACUUAUUGAAAGAAACAGACAGAAUUCAAUAAGUACAGACAAAAAACUGGCACUGGUUAAAACAAGAAAAGGUGCAUCUGAUUUCAAACGGUAUUAUAAA